CUCCGACGUCCAUCAUGUGGACCAUCUUGUCAGGAGGGAGCAAGAAGCCUUCUCUCUGGAAGCGUUCCUGCAGCUUCCUCAAGUGGGAGGGCAGCUGCCCCCCUAGCUAUGCCCCUGCUUACCCUGGGAGCAGAAGAUCAUCACCCCAGGUUCCUACAGAGAUGCCUCCUCCCCCUUGAUACGCACCUUAACCAGAAAGACUCUCCUCUUUCAUCGUGAGAGCUGGUUGGAUUAUGACCUGAGAGGCCUGGAUUCGAAUCCCCACUCAGAAAGGAAGCUAACCAGGUGACAAUGGGCCCUUCAACAUCUCUCAGCCUAACCUACUUCACAGGGUUGUUGUGGAGAUGAAAUGGGGAGGAGGAGAACCAGGUACAACAUCACCUUACGCUCCUGGGGGGGGGGAAUGGUAUAUUAAUGUAAUAAAUAAAUGUGCCAAGCAAAUAAGACUUGGGGGGAGUGAGGACUAAAAUAGCUAGUGGAAGGGGCCUUGAAAGAGAUGGUUGCCACUCUGCACAUACCCAGAAGCAGCUUGUGCCACAGCAGAAGUUAAGCCCUAAUCAAGUCUGAGCAGCCACUGAGGGUUUGAUUUCAGCCUCCGCUGUUGCAAGUGAUGAAGAGUGCCCAUGAGCAUACCCAGAGUGCUCCCCGCUCCCCCGAAUCUCACUGUCAGAAAGAGUCUCCUCCAUCAUAUUGCAAGUAAACAAGCCUUGCGGGGAAUGAGGACUAAACCAGCCAUUGGAGGGCACUUGUCGGUUCGUGUGGAAACAGGACGGAGCUUUGCAAGGGCUGCGCACAUGCCCAGAGGCACCUUGUGCCACAGCAGGAGGCUUGCGCAGCGACGGCGUUCUAAAAGCGGCGAAGAGCGCCCCCUCGAGCAUACCCAGAUCGCCUCCCGACCCCUACUCACGCGUUCGCUUGGUGGCGACGCGGCCCUUGACGCGCCGGAGCUCGAGGGCGCCGUCGGGCCGGCCGGGAGCGAAGACGGCCGUGUGGAUCUCCAUAGAGCAGGCGCCCUCGACUUCGAAGACCUCGCGGAGCAGCUCCUCGAGGCGAAUCAGGGCUUCGUACUCCUCCUCGGGCCGCGGCUGCACAAUCACGCCCACCAGGGCGGCCGGCGCGCCGCGGCUCUGGUCCCGCACGCCCUGCAGUACCUCCCGCAGCCGCGCCGCCCGCUCCCGCAGCGACGCCGCCCGGCACAGGAAGAAAGUCAGCUGCCCCGACGGCGCGACCGAGGAAGUGCAGGGCGGCGACUGAGUGCCUAGCUGCUGCUGCUGCUGCUGCGCCUUCGCGGUGGGCUCGGCACCAGGGGCCUCUUGGGAGCCGCCACCCGUUGUGGGCAGCACGUGGUGCGCGAAGGAGCUGAGGACCUGCUGGCCGCUCUCGGCCCCCCACGGCUCGCCGGCCAGGAGCACCACUUGCGUUCGCUGCACCACCGCGCCCCCGGGUUCGCCCUCGCACGGGUCCUGGUGGGCGUCGGUCCGCCGCCCUCCGCCCCGCUGCUCUUUCCUCUCCAUUCCGCCCGGCUCCAGCUGCUGGUGGCGCCUCCCGACGGGACGGGCGCCACUCGCACAGUGUCACAAUCCCUCCUCGCGUAAGGGGCCCUUGCUGCUGCCACUGCUGCUGCGUGUGCCCACGAAACGCCGCGCGCUUGGUCUUGGCUGCCCGUGCGCCCUGGGCGCACCGGCUAGAUGUGUGCGCCCUGGGCGCAUUUGGCGAGCCCCCUGUUCUUCGGAGUGCCCAAGCAAGCGUGCAAGAAUUUUGGCCACGGUUGUUGCCUCCUCAAAAGCUUUCGAGGCUUGGAGAGAGAAGCGACCGGGACGAAGAAUGUGGAAGUCAGCCUCUUUGGCACCAGGUCCAUUUGGGAAGGCACGGCUCUCCGCUCUCAUUCUAUUGCUCGUGGCCUUUCGCGAAAGAAACGACGACAACUCUUUAACUGACACUACUCAAUGCAGGCAUGUUUACUCGAAAGAAAGCCCUACAGAGCCCAGUAGUUCAGGUACUGGGGAUCUCAAAACUGGAUUACUGCACUGCGUUCUGUGUGGGGCUUCCCUUGUGCUUCAUGAUCCAGAAGCUCUAGUGAUUGCAAAAUGCUACAGCAGAGUUGCCGACAGGAGAAACAUUUUUGUUUAGGCAAACCAAUCCAGGCACAUAAUUGUCAAUGUGGUUUAAUCUCUUUAACUCUUAAUUUAUUUUUAAAGGUGUCGUUUCUUUUAUUGAUAAUUUUAUUUUUUCUUGUAAACCAUUAAGAGGUUUUGCUACAAUCAAGCAGUAUAUAAAUUUUGCAAAAUAAACAUUAUUACAUUUGCUCCCAAGUGUGUUUACCAUGGCAGACUAUAUGGGUUGUUCCUGAUGGUUGGGCGGGAUUCAGCCACAUACUGGCAAAUUCAUGUUAUGCAAUAGAAGUUGAUUUGGAGCUCAUGUGUGACAAACCACCUGCCUCCUUCCCUCUCAAAAAAAGUAAUGGGAAAAUGCACUGG